UACGUAGGGUGCAAGCGUUGUCCGGAAUUAUUGGGCGUAAAGAGCUCGUAGGCGGUUUGUUGCGUCGGCUGUGAAAUCCCGAGGCUCAACCUCGGGUCUGCAGUCGAUACGAGCAAACUAGAGUGUUGCAGGGGGAGACUGGAAUUCCUGGUGUAGCGGUGAAAUGCGCAGAUAUCAGGAGGAACACCGGUGGCGAAGGCGGCCCGCUGGGCAGUUGCUGACACUGAGGCGCGACAGCGUGGGGGAGCAAACAGG
rnacentral:rRNA from 1 species